AGUGAACGCUGGCGGUAGGCCUAACACAUGCAAGUCGAACGGCAGCACAGUAAGAGCUUGCUCUUACGGGUGGCGAGUGGCGGACGGGUGCGGAAUACAUCGGAAUCUACUUUUUCGUGGGGGAUAACGUAGGGGAACUUACGCUAAUACCGCUUACGACCUACGGGUGGAAGCAGGGGAUCUUCGGACCUUGCGCGAUUGAAUGAGCCGAUGUCGGAUUAGCUAGUUGGCGGGGUAAAGGCCCACCAAGGCGACGAUCCGUAGCUGGUCUGAGAGGAUGAUCAGCCACACUGGAACUGAGACACGGUCCAGACUCCUACGGGAGGCAGCAGUGGGGAAUAUUGGACAAUGGGCGCAAGCCUGAUCCAGCCAUACCGCGUGGGUGAAGAAGGCCUUCGGGUUGUAAAGCCCUUUUGUUGGGAAAGAAAAGCAGCAGGUUAAUACCCCGCUGUUCUGACGUUACCCAAAGAAUAAGCACCGGCUAACUUCGUG
rnacentral:rRNA from 1 species